AUCCAGAUAGAGAGUCCUAAAUAGAACGAAAUGCGCAUCCUGGAU
rnacentral:hammerhead_ribozyme from 1 species